rnacentral:piRNA from 1 species
UUUAAUUGGCAUCUUCUAGUGAGAU